GUGGCACCGAAGGAAAUCGGCGAUUAGGACUAGCUAGUUUUAUAGCUACUUAGGGUCUGUUUGGAUACACACUCAUAAUCUUUAGGACUUCACUUUUAGUCCACUUUUAGAACUUGUGCAUCCAAACAUAUGUCAUAAAAGUGCAUUCAUAAUGUUUAGGAGUGUUGUUUUCAUUAGGAGGACCAAACCAUCAUAAUGGGUCAUUUUUCUCCUAAAAGUGGUCCCCAACCCAUCCUUUACCCCUGUUGCCCCUCCCCUUCUCUCUCCACAGCGCUAGAAACAGAGCAAGGUGGAGUAAUUAGGGGUACAAAAGUCAUUCCCCCUCUAACAUCCUAAAGAUUAUGAUUCCAUCCAAACAGCCCACUCAUAAAUUUUAGGACUACCAAUUCAUAGCUCCUACACUUUAUGAGUGUCCUAAAGUUUAUGAGUGUGUAUCCAAACAGG
rnacentral:lncRNA from 1 species